rnacentral:misc_RNA from 1 species
GAUGAAGAACGUAGCGAAAUGCGAUAAGUAAUGUGAAUUGCAGAAUUCAGUGAAUCAUCGAGUCUUUGAACGCACAUUGCGCCCCCUGGUAUUCCGGGGGGCAUGCCUGUCCGAGCGUCAUUGCUGCCCUCAAGCACGGCUUGUGUGUUGGGCCCCGUCCCCUCCCCCGGGGACGGGCCCGAAAGGCAGCGGCGGCACCGCGUCCGAUCCUCGAGCGUAUGGGGCUUUGUCACCCGCUCUGUGGGCCCGGCCGGCGCCAGCCGACACCCAACUUUUAUUUCUAAGGUUGACCUCGGAUCAGGUAGGGAUACCCGCUGAACUUAAGCAUAUCAAUAAGCGGAGGA